rnacentral:rRNA from 1 species
UACGUAGGGUGCAAGCGUUAAUCGGAAUUACUGGGCGUAAAGCGUGCGCAGGCGGUUAUGUAAGACAGAUGUGAAAUGCCCGGGCUUAACCUGGGAACUGCAUUUGUGACUGCAUGGCUAGAGUUUGGCAGAGGGGGGUAGAAUUCCACGUGUAGCAGUGAAAUGCGUAGAUAUGUGGAGGAACACCGAUGGCGAAGGCAGCCCCCUGGGUCAAGACUGACGCUCAUGCACGAAAGCGUGGGGAGCAAACAGU